rnacentral:rRNA from 1 species
UAAGGAGGGUGCAAGCGUUAUCCGGAUUCACUGGGGUUAAAGGGUGCGUAGGAGGGCAGGUAAGUCAGUGGUGAAAUCUCCAAGCUUAACUUGGAAACUGCCGUUGAUACUAUCUGUCUUGAAUACCGUGGAGGUGAGCGGAAUAUGUCAUGUAGCGGUGAAAUGCUUAGAUAUGACAUAGAACACCAAUUGCGAAGGCAGCUCGCUACACGAAUAUUGACGCUGAGGCACGAAAGCGUGGGGAUCAAACAGG